UCAAUAACUUUUUUUUUUUUUUUUCUGCUCUCUUUCUCUUUUCAUUUUUUUUUUGGUCAGCGUGAGAUACUGGCUUUCAUUGAGCUACAAUAAAUAGUUUUGACUUUUUAUUUCUAUUUCUAUUUCUUCUUUAUUUUCCUGCUGUCUUUCUCUUCUCGCAUACACAAAAGAGACUCAAACAUACACACACACAUACUCGGAGAGUUUCUCUCUCUCUCUCUCUCUUUUUUUUAGAGUUUCCUUUUUGCUCACUUGUUUUUCUUUGAUCGUCGUUCUUUACGACAUCUUUGUAUUAUAACGAAAAUAACCUUUAUUUGGACUUUCUUUUUAUUCACUGUGGAUGAGCUCACUGUGUUGUUCCAUGCACAAAUUUGUCACUUUCCAUGUGAAUUUUUCGUGGGGUUGUUGUAAACAUUCAUGAAUUCCUUCGUUUGCUUUUUUUUUAAACAAUUUUUAAUUUUUAUUUACUGUUUCUAAUGCUGACAUUUAUUUGCCUUUUUUAUUUCAUUGCAAAACAUUAUAUAUGUAUUCAUAGUAAAAACUGAAGUGAAAGUCUAUUACAGUCAUUUAAAUAGAUUAGCUCAUCUGUAUUAAAAUUAAUAAAAGCAUUGCAAUUUAUAUUAUAAA